rnacentral:rRNA from 1 species
UACAGAGGUCUCGAGCGUUAGGCGGAAUCACUGGGCUUAAAGCGUGUGUAGGCGGAUCGUUAAGUGCCUUGUGAAAUCCCACGGCUCAACCGUGGAACUGCUUGGCAUACUGGCGGUCUUGAGCAACCUAGGGGCGAGCGGAACAAAUGGUGGAGCGGUGAAAUGCGUAGAUAUCGGGAGGAACAUCAGUGGCGAAGGCGGCUACCUGGCCCAAUACUGACACUCAGGUGCGACAGCGUGGGGAGCAAACAGG